rnacentral:lncRNA from 1 species
UGUGUGUGGAUGAAUGACGGACUUUGGAGUGUUUAGAGAUCUAUGCAGUGAGUGAUCCAAUGGUGGAUUCGUGCACAGGAACAUGAAUCCUUCUUUCAUUCCAAAGAUACAACCAUGAUCAUCCAUAAUGCUAAAGUUGUUACUUUUGUGCUCAAAACCGCAUUGACCAUCUCUUAGGUCUCAUAGCCUAGGGGAAUAAAGGCUACAGAUUUCCCCACUUGAAGCCUCCUCAAACUCGAUACUUA